UUGAUAAGAAAGUGAAACGCUCGAGGUAUCGUAUCUCAAUACAAAUUCAAAACUCAAAACGCUUUCACUCCAACUUCAAUUUCAUCAUGUUCGGAAACAACACAUGCAGCGGCGGCGCUCCAUUUUCUCUCUCAGUCGUGUUCUCUGCCGUCUCAACCUCGCGUCCAUUACAAACCCGACGGCCGAAGAACUCAUACGAGUUCUCUUCUCCGACGAACUCUCGGUCUCAAUAUCUUCUUCUCCUCUUUUCGAUUUCUAAUUCGUUGUUUGUUGGUUUGAUGAUGAUGGUGAUACGGAAUCGGUGAUUUGUGUUGUUGUAUUGUGUGUUUCUGUCCAAGCUUGAUUCGGUGAAAGUGCAAUGAUGAUGAUGGGUUUAGAUCUGUGUAUUUGUUCAUCUCCACGACUGUUUUUAUAAAUCAAAUUAUUUCAUCCCUUUUCUCUGCAAUAUAUUGAAUCAAAUUAAGGCUACAUCAUAUAGGAUUUCAUCUCAGUAGCCAGAAAGGAUUUAGACUUGAUCGGGUUUUACCGCUGACUUUUGAAUCUAACAGGAGGAUGAAGUGAAAGAAAGAGCAAAAAGAGAUGCAGCUGCUAGCAAAUGAAGGGAAUACUCAUGGAAAGGAUUGUGUAUGAAGUGAUGGCUUCUUAUUGUAUUGGAAGAGAAUUUUAAUUGUGACAUGGAUAAGCAGUGACUUGGUUCUGAAAUUGCAUAUGUGCUAUGACUGUUUUGGGUUGUAUAAUUAUGCAGUAUCGAAGAUACACUAUUGAGGAAAUAGAAGAAGCGACAAAAUACUUUUCCAACUCACUGAAGUUGGUGAAGUAUGUUAUGGACCAGUCUAUAGGGCUGAAUUAGUUCUCACUGCAUUUGCAAUAAAAGUGUUGCAACCCUGUGCAGCUCAAGGAUGGUUGCAAUUUCAACCAAGGUAUGCAAAUUAUUGAUUUAAAUUAAAUAUUAUUUAAAUGAAUCAAUUAAUUAUUAUUUGACAUUUGAUUCAUGUAGAUUGAAGUUGUGAUAAGCAUAAGGCAUCCAAACAUGGUUCUUCUAUUUGAAACGUGUCUGGGGUUCGGUUGCUUACCGUAUGAGCACAUGAGUAAUGGAAUGUUGACGUGCUAUCUAGAUUUAGACAUUAGCAUAUAGGGCAAUAUAAAUUCUUUUUCAGGGUUUUCAUGUGUUCCAUAUAAAUAUUUGAAACACUAUUUCUAGGUGGAUGCAGAAAGUGUGUACUGAACUUUUAUGUUUGUUGCAUUUUAAUAAUGAUUAAAGCUGAGAAAAUAAUUUAGCAGCAAAGUUGAGUCAACAAUUGCAGCAAUGCGAGGGCUUUCGGCUACUACAGCUAGCAAUCAACCACAACUUACUACUUUGUUUUAACUGGCUGCUCAUGAAGCUAAAAAAUCAAGUACUCAGGGUUGCAUUUAACAGUGAUUUUAUUCUACUGCAGAUCGAUAGGGUGCCUACAACAUCAGUGGCCCGUGAACCAGAGGCUUUUCACUAUGGAUAUCAUGUACUAUAGGUAAUGUUGUAGAUAUUGGAAACACAUUGGGCUAGAUGCAUUGGAUUUAUCAAAGCCAUUGAACUGCCACUUUUGCCGCCGCUGAAAAAGUCAGUUGAACGGAAAGUAGUGCUUGGAAACAAUUGGACCUGGUUGUUGCAACUGGUGGUGAUGGAACUCUUCCGCUGGCCCGCCAUUUAAUGGAUGGCAAAAUUCCUGUCCUUUGAUUGAACUCAGAUCCUACUUGGAUUGAUGAGGUGGAAAAAUUAAGUGGUGAGUUUUGAUGCUUCUAGAAGUACCGGUCAUCUUUCUGCUGCAACUAUUGAAAACUUCGAACCAAUAUUCUUUCAGUUUUGAUUCCAUGGAGUAGCUAAAACUAUUACUGUUUUAUGAUGCUUUAGUUCUUUCGUUUAUG